CAAAGUGAAAUUAACAAAAAUUCUCGAAAUUGAAGUUAAAAAAAAUUCUAAUCGAUUUUUUGCAAAAUUUUUGAAUUUUUCAAGUUUAAAAAUGUAAAAAUGACAUGGAAAGCUGCAGAGAUGGAAACGCAGCAGAUAUAGAAUUACAUAGAAUGAAAUCCAAUACUUAUUGAGCGGCUUGAGAGGGUCCCCACCACUAAAGAGGCGGGCUCCGGGAGCUAAAGUGGCCCAAAAACUCGACUAAUUGCAAAUGUGUUGAUUUGUUGGAAAUAAUGUGGAAUGACGUUUUUAGUGGUCCCGGCUAAGAGAAAAGUUGGUUGGAGCCGGGUGGAAGAAGAAAACUGAUAAUUGAAUUAGUGGAGAAUUGCUGGGCUCGCGGAGCCCGAGCAAUUGUAUUAGACCAUUAGAGAUGGGGCUAUACAUUGACUGAGUAGCGACGCUGGGAGGCUUUUGCCAAAAAAAUUUGGGCCGUGAAAUUUAGAUUUUCAGUCAAAAUUCAAAAAUUACCAAAAAAUUUUUUUUGCAAAAUUUAAACUAAUAUAACUUUGCUCAAAAUCACCCGUUUUAGUCCAUUUUUUAACAGUUUUUGUUGCAAAUUUUACGAGCU
ensembl:ncRNA Y119D3B.10 ncRNA